CCUACGGGAGGCAGCAGUAAGGAAUAUUGGUCAAUGGAGGCAACUCUGAACCAGCCAUGCCGCGUGCAGGAAGACUGCCCUAUGGGUUGUAAACUGCUUUUAUCCGGGAAUAAACCUACUUACGUGUAAGUAGCUGAAUGUACCGGAAGAAUAAGGAUCGGCUAACUCCGUGCCAGCAGCCGCGGUAAUACGGAGGAUCCAAGCGUUAUCCGGAUUUAUUGGGUUUAAAGGGUGCGUAGGCGGCCUGUUAAGUCAGGGGUGAAAGACGGUAGCUCAACUAUCGCAGUGCCCUUGAUACUGAUGGGCUUGAAUGGACUAGAGGUAGGCGGAAUGAGACAAGUAGCGGUGAAAUGCAUAGAUAUGUCUCAGAACACCGAUUGCGAAGGCAGCUUACUAUGGUCUUAUUGACGCUGAGGCACGAAAGCGUGGGGAUCAAACAGGAUUAGAUACCCUGGUAGUCCACGCCCUAAACGAUGAACACUCGCUGUUGGCGAUACACAGUCAGCGGCUAAGCGAAAGCGUUAAGUGUUCCACCUGGGGAGUACGCCCGCAAGGGUGAAACGUCAAAUGAAUUGACGG
rnacentral:rRNA from 1 species